UCAGCGACUUAUAUUCUGUAGCAAGGUUAACCGAAUAGGGGAGCCGGAGGGAAACCGAGUCUUAAUUGGGCGUUAAGUUGCAGGGUAUAGACCCGAAACCCGGUGAUCUAGCCAUGGGCAGGUUGAAGGUUGGGUAACACUAACUGGAGGACCGAACCGACUAAUGUUGAAAAAUUAGCGGAUGACCUGUGGCUGGGGGUGAAAGGCCAAUCAAACCGGGAGAUAGCUGGUUCUCCCCGAAAGCUAUUUAGGUAGCGCCUCGUGAAUUCAUCUCCGGGGGUAGAGCACUGUUUCGGCUAGGGGGCCAUCCCGGCUUACCAACCCGAUGCAAACUGCGAAUACCGGAGAAUGUUAUCACGGGAGACACACGGCGGGUGCUAACGUCCGUCGUGAAGAGGGAAACAACCCAGACCGCCAGCUAAGGUCCCAAAGUCAUGGUUAAGUGGGAAACGAUGUGGGAAGGCCCAGACAGCCAGGAUGUUGGCUUAGAAGCAGCCAUCAUUUAAAGAAAGCGUAAUAGCUCACUGGUCGAGUCGGCCUGCGCGGAAGAUGUAACGGGGCUAAACCAUGCACCGAAGCUGCGGCAGCGANNGUUGGGUAGGGGAGCGUUCUGUAAGCCUGUGAAGGUGGCCUGUGAGGGUUGCUGGAGGUAUCAGAAGUGCGAAUGCUGACAUAAGUAACGAUAAAGCGGGUGAAAAGCCCGCUCGCCGGAAGACCAAGGGUUCCUGUCCAACGUUAAUCGGGGCAGGGUGAGUCGACCCCUAAGGCGAGGCCGAAAGGCGUAGUCGAUGGGAAACGGGUUAAUAUUCCCGUACUUGGUGUUACUGCGAAGGGGGGACGGAGAAGGCUAUGUUGGCCGGGCGACGGUUGUCCCGGUUUAAGCGUGUAGGUGUGUGUUCCAGGUAAAUCCGGUUCACUUUAACACUGAGGCGUGAUGACGAGGCACUACGGUGCUGAAGUAACAAAUGCCCUGCUUCCAGGAAAAGCCUCUAAGCAUCAGGUAACAUCAAAUCGUACCCCAAACCGACACAGGUGGUCAGGUAGAGAAUACCAAGGCGCUUGAGAGAACUCGGGUGAAGGAACUAGGCAAAAUGGUGCCGUAACUUCGGGAGAAGGCACGCUGACACGUAGGUGAAGUGAUUUACUCACGGAGCUGAAGUCAGUCGAAGAUACCAGCUGGCUGCAACUGUUUAUUAAAAACACAGCACUGUGCAAACACGAAAGUGGACGUAUACGGUGUGACGCCUGCCCGGUGCCGGAAGGUUAAUUGAUGGGGUCAGCGCAAGCGAAGCUCCUGAUCGAAGCCCCGGUAAACGGCGGCCGUAACUAUAACGGUCCUAAGGUAGCGAAAUUCCUUGUCGGGUAAGUUCCGACCUGCACGAAUGGCGUAAUGAUGGCCAGGCUGUCUCCACCCGAGACUCAGUGAAAUUGAACUCGCUGUGAAGAUGCAGUGUACCCGCGGCAAGACGGAAAGACCCCGUGAACCUUUACUAUAGCUUGACACUGAACAUUGAGCCUUGAUGUGUAGGAUAGGUGGGAGGCUUUGAAGNNCCGGGUUGCGGACAGUGUCUGGUGGGUAGUUUGACUGGGGCGGUCUCCUCCUAAAGAGUAACGGAGGAGCACGAAGGUUGGCUAAUCCUGGUCGGACAUCAGGAGGUUAGUGCAAUGGCAUAAGCCAGCUUGACUGCGAGCGUGACGGCGCGAGCAGGUGCGAAAGCAGGUCAUAGUGAUCCGGUGGUUCUGAAUGGAAGGGCCAUCGCUCAACGGAUAAAAGGUACUCCGGGGAUAACAGGCUGAUACCGCCCAAGAGUUCAUAUCGACGGCGGUGUUUGGCACCUCGAUGUCGGCUCAUCACAUCCUGGGGCUGAAGUAGGUCCCAAGGGUAUGGCUGUUCGCCAUUUAAAGUGGUACGCGAGCUGGGUUUAGAACGUCGUGAGACAGUUCGGUCCCUAUCUGCCGUGGGCGCUGGAGAACUGAGGGGGGCUGCUCCUAGUACGAGAGGACCGGAGUGGACGCAUCACUGGUGUUCGGGUUGUCAUGCCAAUGGCACUGCCCGGUAGCUAAAUGCGGAAGAGAUAAGUGCUGAAAGCAUCUAAGCACGAAACUUGCCCCGAGAUGAGUUCUCCCUGAGACUU
rnacentral:rRNA from 1 species